UACGGCCACAUUACGUUGAAACACCGGUUCACGUACGAUUUCCGAACUUGAGCAAUGUCUAGCCUGGUCAGUAUCUUUGGUGGGUGACCGCUUGGGAGUACCAGGCGCUGCAA